AGGUGACGUCUGUCUGAAGAUCCACAUCAACCGCUCGCCGAUCUGGAGGAAAAGAAGACGGAAGGAAAGAAGAUGGAAGAUCCGGUGGAAAAGAAGGCGCGGCUGACACCGCGAAUCGUGCACUCCAUGUCUGCCUACUGCUGGAUGCUGGGCGUACUGGGAGGUUUAUACUUGUUCGCCUUCGCUAGCAAGGCCCGUGCUGAUGCUGCACGAGCCCAAGAAGACGUCCAUAGGGCCACCCCAUGCAUCUUUCCUGCACCGGCUGCCCCAGAUCCCCAUGUUACUCGACUCAUGAAGAUCCGUCAUGACUCUGUCGUUGCAAAACGAAAAGCCGAAAAGAAGGUUGAGGACCUAAGGACACUGGGUUGGUGUGGCGAGAAUGGGGACCGUUGAAAGGUUGAUGGUCCGCUCUCUUUUUGCCCUCUCCAUCCCGUUCUCCUUGUGUACAGGGAUCUGCAACGCUGGUGCUUCCUUUGAUUCUGCUGGGCAUGAGAUGGGCAAUGCGAUGAGCCUUGCCAUUAUCGUGAUUCCGGGAGUACCGAUGCUCAUGGCGCAUGCCCAUCUCUUCUAUGUAGCGAUCUGCGAGAAUUAGGUUUUGCAGUGGCAAUGCAUUGCGAGUUACUUAUUGAGAACUCGUGUGGAAAAGCAAACUGUGGGCUGCUUUAUUGUAAUUUAUAUUUUCUGCAUGUUAUCCCUAAAUUCGCUACACUUCUCAUCUUUUAAUUAAGAACCGGAUGAUCACUGCUGCAUCUCAAA